rnacentral:pre_miRNA from 1 species
UCAUCCUACACCGUUGGGCGUUGGAUCGAGAAAUGGACGUCCAAGAUUCGUCCACAUCAGCAUGAGUUAAAAUUUAACUCCCAGUAAAUUUUAACUCAUGAGUGAAUCUGUGAGUUAAAUUUUAACUCAUGGUGACGUGGACAAAUCUCGGACGUCCAUUUCUUGAUCCAACGGUGUAGGAUGA